AGUUAAGUUAGAAAGGGCGCACGGUGGAUGCCUUGGCACUAGGAGCCGAUGAAGGACGGUACUAACACCGAUAUGCUUCGGGGAGCUGUAAGUAAGCUUUGAUCCGGAGAUUUCCGAAUGGGGGAACCCACUAUCCGUAAUGGGAUAGUAUCGUUACUUGAAUACAUAGAGUAACAGAAGGCAGACCCGGGGAACUGAAACAUCUAAGUACCCGGAGGAAGAGAAAGCAAACGCGAUUCCCUGAGUAGCGGCGAGCGAAACGGGAUUAGCCCAAACCAAGAGGCUUGCCUCUUGGGGUUGUAGGACACUCUACAUGGAGUUACAAAGGAACGGGGUAGAUGAAUAGGUCUGGAAAGGCCAGUCAUAGAAGGUAAAAACCCUGUAGUCGAAACUUCGUUCCCUCCUGAGUGGAUCCUGAGUACGGCGGGACACGUGAAAUCCCGUCGGAAGCAGGGAGGACCAUCUCCCAAGGCUAAAUACUCCCUAGUGACCGAUAGUGAACCAGUACCGUGAGGGAAAGGUGAAAAGCACCCCGGAAGGGGAGUGAAAUAGAUCCUGAAACCGUGUGCCUACAAGUAGUUAGAGCCCAUUAAUGGGUGAUAGCGUGCCUUUUGUAGAAUGAACCGGCGAGUUACGAUUACAUGCGAGGUUAAGUUGAAGAGACGGAGCCGCAGCGAAAGCGAGUCUGAAUAGGGCGUAAUAGUAUGUGGUCGUAGACCCGAAACCAGGUGAUCUACCCAUGUCCAGGGUGAAGUCCAGGUAACACUGGAUGGAGGCCCGAACCCACGCACGUUGAAAAGUGCGGGGAUGAGGUGUGGGUAGCGGAGAAAUUCCAAUCGAACUUGGAGAUAGCUGGUUCUCUCCGAAAUAGCUUUAGGGCUAGCCUCAAGGUAAGAGUAUUGGAGGUAGAGCACUGUUUGGACUAGGGGCCCCCAUCGGGUUACCGAAUUCAGACAAACUCCGAAUGCCAAAUACUUAUCCUUGGGAGUCAGACUGCGAGUGAUAAGAUCCGUAGUCAAGAGGGAAACAGCCCAGACCACCAGCUAAGGUCCCAAAGUAUACGUUAAGUGGAAAAGGAUGUGGAGUUGCUUAGACAACCAGGAUGUUGGCUUAGAAGCAGCCACCAUUUAAAGAGUGCGUAAUAGCUCACUGGUCGAGUGACUCUGCGCCGAAAAUGUACCGGGGCUAAACGUAUCACCGAAGCUGUGGAUUGACAUCUAGUGAUGUCAGUGGUAGGAGAGCGUUCUAAGGGCGUUGAAGCUAGACCGUAAGGACUGGUGGAGCGCUUAGAAGUGAGAAUGCCGGUAUGAGUAGCGAAAGAUGAGUGAGAAUCUCAUCCACCGAAUGCCUAAGGUUUCCUGAGGAAGGCUCGUCCACUCAGGGUUAGUCGGGACCUAAGCCGAGGCUGAAGAGCGUAGGCGAUGGACAACAGGUUGAUAUUCCUGUACCACCUUAUGAAUCGUUUGAGCGAUGGGGGGACGCAGGAGGAUAGGGUAAGCGUGCUGUUGGAUUAGCACGUCCAAGCAGUUAGGCUGGUAAUGAGGCAAAUCCCAUUACCGUGAAGGCGGAGCUGUGACGGCGAGGGAAAUAUAGUACCGAAGUUCCUGAUUCCACACUGCCAAGAAAAGCCUCUAGCGAGAUUCAAGGUGCCCGUACCGCAAACCGACACAGGUAGGCGAGGAGAGAAUCCUAAGGUGAGCGAGAGAACUCUCGUUAAGGAACUCGGCAAAAUGACCCCGUAACUUCGGGAGAAGGGGUGCUCUUUUGGGUGCAAGCCCGAGAGAGCCGCAGUGAAUAGGCCCAGGCGACUGUUUAGCAAAAACACAGGUCUCUGCGAAGCCGUAAGGCGAAGUAUAGGGGCUGACACCUGCCCGGUGCUGGAAGGUUAAGAGGAGGGGUUAGCGUUCGCGCGAAGCUCUGAAUUGAAGCCCCAGUAAACGGCGGCCGUAACUAUAACGGUCCUAAGGUAGCGAAAUUCC
rnacentral:rRNA from 1 species